rnacentral:rRNA from 1 species
CCCUUAGAUGUCCUGGGCUGCACGCGCGCUACACUGAUGUGUCCAGUAAGCACCUAACCUCUUCCGAAAGGAACGGGUAACCUUUGCAAAGCACAUCGUGAUGGGGAUAGAUUAUUGCAAUUAUUAGUCUUGAACGAGGAAUUCCUAGUAAGGGCAAGUCAUCAUCUUGCCUUGAUUACGUCCCUGCCCUUUGUACACACCGCCCGUCGCUACUACCGAUUGAAUGGUUUAGUGAGAUCUUCGGAUUGGCCACCUUGGUGCCUUCGCGGGUCCAUGGCGUGCCGAAAAGUUGUUCAAACUUGAUCAUUUAGAGGAAGUAAAAGUCGUAACA